AGAAAGGUCAUUUCUAAAAACACAGUGCUGACACAGGGUUGCUGGGCCCUGAUCGAGAGCCAGUGUCUGGGGUGGGGCCAUAUGUCCAGCUGAGGUGAGCUGAAAAGGUGCCUCCAGCAGCUGAGCUUAAGCCAUGGCCUCUGCAUGCAUCUCCACACUUUGGAUUCUCUUCUCACUGAGUGGACUGAGAGCAGAGUCGGUGAGUCAGCUGGAUGAUCAGGUCACUGUCACCGAAGGGGAUCCUCUGACUGUGAAAUGCACCUAUUCAUUUUCUGGGACGCCUUACCUGUUUUGGUAUGUCCAGUAUCCCAACCAAGGACUCCAGUUCCUUCUGAAAUACAUUGCAGGGGACAACCUGGUCAAAGGCAGCUUUGGGUUUAUGGCUGAAUUUAAUAAGAGCCAAAUGUCUUUCCACCUGAAGAAACCGUCUGCCCUUGGGAGUGACUCUGCUGUGUACUUCUGUGCUGGGAGAGACACAGUGGUGGGGCUGCUGGGAGAGCUGAACACAAACCCCCAAGUACAGUAA